ensembl:lncRNA
CCCACUGGCUGCUCUGAAAAGCCAUCUUUGCAUUGUUCCCGUCUCCGGCUUCCCUGAUUGCCGCAGCCACCUCCGCCGCGCACCAUCUCCGCCGCCGCGGGCUCCGGCAGCUUUACCGCCAGAGUCCUCGAACUCCCACUUUUCUUCUCAGUCCGUUGCAUCGGAUCACCGGAGUGCCCCAUCAUGUCAGACGCGGCCAGAGGCACCUGCAAAUGGGAAUGCUAAUGAGGAAAAUGGGGAGCAGGAAGCAGACAACGAGGUAGACGAAGAAGAGGAGGAAGGUGGGGAGGAAGAGGAGGAGGAGGAAGGUGACGGUGAGGAAGAGGACGGAGAUGAAGAUGAGGAGGCCGAGGCAGCUACGGGCAAACGGGCAGCUGAAGAUGACGAGGAUAACGAUGUGGAUACCAAGAAGCAGAAGACUGAUAAAGAUGACUAGACAGCAAAAAAGGAAAAGUUAAACUUAAAAAAAAAAGGCCGCCGUGACCUAUUCACCCUCCACUUCCCGUCUCAGAAUCUAUAAACGUGGUCACCUUCGAAGAGUCCCACCCGCCCGCCCCUGGCGGGCAGCGCCACCCACAGACGACAGCGCUCUCCACCACCCAACCAAAACCACAACGUGAAUUUGCAACAGGGGAGGAAAAAAGAACCAAAACUUCUAAGGCCCUGCUUUUUUUCUUAAAGUACUUUAAAAAGGAAAAUUUGUUUGUAUUUUUUAUUUACAUUUUAUAUUUUUGUACAUAUUGUUACGGGUCAGCCAUUUUUAAUGAUCUCGGAUGACCAAACCAGCCUUCGGAGCGUUCUCUGUCCUACUCUGACUUUACUUGUGGUGUGACCAUGUUCAUUAUAAUCUCAAAGGAGGAAAAAAACCUUGUAAAAAAAGCAAAAACAACAACAAAAAAAAACAAUCUUAUUCCGAACAUUCCAGUAACUUUUUUUGUGUAUGUACUUAGCUGUACUAUAAGUAGUUGGUUUGUAUGAGAUGGUUAAAAAGGCCAAAGAUAAAAGGUUUCUUUUUUUUCCUUUUUUUGUCUAUGAAGUUGCUGUUUAUUUUUUUGGCCUGUUUGAUGUAUGUGUGAAACAAUGUUGUCCAACAAUAAACCGGAAUUUUAUUUUGCUGAGUUGUUCUAAAAAAAUAAAUAAAUAAAAAUAAAAAGCAGAGACAUUACUUUGCCAACAAAGGUCUGUCUAGUCAAGGCUAUGGUUUUUCCUGUGGUCAUGUAUGGAUGUGAGAGUUGGACUAUAAAGAAAGCUGAACGCCGAAAAAUUGAUGCUUUUGAACUGUUUUGUUGGAGAAGACUCUUUAGAGUCCUGUGGACUGCAAGGAGAUCCAACCAGUCCAUCCUAAAGGAGAUCAGUCCUGGGUGUUCACUGGAAGGACUGAUGUUGAAGCUGAAACUCCAAUAUUUGGCCACCUGAUGUGAAGAGCUGACUCAUUUGAAAAGACUCUGAUGCUGGGAAAGAUUGAGGACAGGAGGAGAAGGGGACAACAGAGGAUAAGAUGGUUGGAUGGCACCACCGACUCAAUGGACAUGGGUUUGGGUGGACUCUGGGAUUUGGUGAUGGACAGGGAGGCCUGGUGUGCUGCGGUUCAUGGGGUUCCAAAGAUUUC